GAGAGUGGCGGAAGGGCGAGGAACACGUGGGCAACCUGUCUCAGAGGUGGGGAAAACCGUUGGAAACGACGGCUAAUACCGAAUGUAGCGCCCGCUCGCAUGAGCGGAGCGCCAAAGGGGGCGAAAGCUCCCCCUCUCCGAGGGGCCCGCGCACCAUCAGCUUGUUGGCGGGUAACGGCCCACCAAGGCUCACGGUUAGCUGGUCUGAGAGGAUGGCCAGCCGCACUGGGACUGAGAUACUGCCCAGACUCCUACGGGAGGCUGCAGUCGAGGAUCAUUUGCAAUGGGCGAAAGCCUGACAAUGCGACGCUGCGUGGAGGAUGAAGGCCCUCGGGUUGUAAACUCCUGUCAUGGGGGGAAAAGGAAACCCUGCCCAAUACGCAGGGAAUUUGAUGGUACCCCAAGAGGAAGCGACGGCUAACUCUGUGCCAGCCGCUGC
rnacentral:rRNA from 1 species